rnacentral:rRNA from 1 species
CACGUAGGGCGCAAGCGUUGUCCGGAAUUAUUGGGCGUAAAGAGCUCGUAGGUGGUCUGUUGCGUCCGCUGUGAAAACUCGGGGCUUAACCCCGAGCCUGCAGUGGAUACGGGCAGACUAGAGGUAGGUAGGGGAGAAUGGAAUUCCUGGUGUAGCGGUGAAAUGCGCAGAUAUCAGGAGGAACACCUGUGGCGAAAGCGGCUCACUGGACCAUAACUGACGCUGAUGCACGAAAGCUAGGGGAGCAAACAGG